CCUACGGGAGGCAGCAGUCGGGAAUUUUGGGCAAUGGGCGAAAGCCUGACCCAGCAACGCCGCGUGAAGGAUGAAAUCCCUCGGGAUGUAAACUUCGCAAGAACAGGAAGAAUAAGUUUGUGUUAACAGCACAAGCGAUGACGGUACUGUUUGUAAGCUCCGGCUAACUCCGUGCCAGCAGCCGCGGUAAUACGGGGGGAGCAAGCGUUGUUCGGAUUUACUGGGCGUAAAGGGCGCGUAGGCGGCCACCGCAAGUCGACUGUGAAAUCUCCGGGCUUAACCCGGAAAGGUCAGCCGAUACUGCGGGGCUAGAGUGCAGAAGGGGCAACUGGAAUUCUCGGUGUAGCGGUGAAAUGCGUAGAUAUCGAGAGGAACACCUGCGGCGAAGGCGGGUUGCUGGGCUGACACUGACGCUGAGGCGCGAAAGCUAGGGGAGCGAACGGGAUUAGAUACCCCGGUAGUCCUAGCCUUAAACGAUGAAUGCUUGGUGUCUGGGGUUUUAUAGUCCCCGGGUGCCGUCGCUAACGCUUUAAGCAUUCCGCCUGGGGAGUACGGUCGCAAGACUGAAACUCAAAGGAAUUGACGG
rnacentral:rRNA from 1 species